UGCAUUCUUAGCUCAGUUGGAUAGAGCAACAGUUUUCUAAACUGAUGGUCAUAGGUUCAAAUCCUAUAGAGUGUAA
rnacentral:tRNA from 1 species